rnacentral:rRNA from 1 species
GAUGAACGCUGGCGGCGUGCCUAAUACAUGCAAGUCGAGCGAACGGACGAGGAGCUUGCUUCUCUGAUGUUAGCGGCGGACGGGUGAGUAACACGUGGAUAACCUACCUAUAAGACUGGGAUAACUUCGGGAAACCGGAGCUAAUACCGGAUGAUAUUUUGAACCGCAUGGUUCAAAAGUGAAAGACGGUCUUGCUGUCACUUAUAGAUGGAUCCGCGCUGCAUUAGCUAGUUGGUAAGGUAACGGCUUACCAAGGCAACGAUGCAUAGCCGACCUGAGAGGGUGAUCGGCCACACUGGAACUGAGACACGGUCCAGACUCCUACGGGAGGCAGCAGUAGGGAAUCUUCCGCAAUGGGCGAAAGCCUGACGGAGCAACGCCGCGCGAGUGAUGAAGGUCUUCGGAUCGUAAAACUCUGUUAUUAGGGAAGAACAUAUGUGUAAGUAACUGUGCACAUCUUGACGGUACCUAAUCAGAAAGCCACGGCUAACUACGUG